ACCACCUACCAACUCAACGACUGCGUUUGGUUUGGUAAAUAUGAUCGAUAAUCCAUUAACCAUUGAGCCUAAAUUGAGCUCAAAAAUGGUUGGAAAGGCUCAAGGGCUUUAUACCUCUGCAUCGCAAGAAGAAAUUGGACUACUAAUGAUUAUGAACUUUGCAUUCUUUGAUGGUAAGUAUAAUGGUAGCACAUUCACUGUAUUAGGACGGAAUACGGUAUUUUCUAAAGUGAGGGAGAUGUCAGUGAUCAGUGGCAGUGGACUUUUCCGAUUUGCUAGAGGUUAUGUUGAACUUAAAACUUAUUCGGUAAAUUUAACCACAAGAGAUGCUAUAGUUGAGUAUAAUGCUUAUGUUUUGCAUUAUUAAACUUCUUUCCAUUUUUUCCAAGCUUUUGUUGAGCUUUGGCUGCUAUUGUGACAACUUGAAUCAUUAUGUUCCCACCAUGUGCUAAGUGGGGCCCUUUGAUGUUUGAUUUAAUUAAAUUAUGUGUUUGAGUAGUAUAAUUGUUUUCUCAAAAUAUUUUUUAAUAAAUUUUGUUUUGAAUAAAAGUGGUUCGAGGAGAAAGAUUAAGGUAUUCUAUCUCAAUUUUUUGAAUCACUAAUGUUUAAAAUUAAUAUUGACUAUUAAAAUUCAAUCAUAAAAUUCAUUAUCACACAUUCCAAAUUUGAUAGUUAAAAUUUUGGUUCAAAAAAUCUAAAAUGCAAAAGGUUUAGCAGUGAUAAUUCUGAUCAAUUUUGUAGUUUAUUUUUUUAAAUUGAUAAGAAAAUUUGGUUGAUUAUAAUCUCCAGGCAACUUUAGUAUUCAUUUUGGAUUGAUAAAUGUUAGUCCAUGAUUCAUCCUUUAAUUUAAUGAGCUUGAAGAUACUAGGCCUUGACCUAGUAUAGUGCCCUAAACUAAAAGGGUGACAAUUCGUAUUGUUGGGUCAUAAUCCAAUCGAGAAAGGCUAUAUGUAUAUAUUCAAUAAAGUCUCUCCUAAAUCUUGAACUUCAUGCACGGAGGUAUAAAUUUUUUAUUUUUUCUAUUUUUAAAUAUGAAAUUAUAGGUGCUAGAUGUGGUUUAUUCACUAAAACCAUUAUAUAAUUUAUGACAUUGGUUUAUUUUAAUUUUGUAUAUAGACUAUAAGGACCCAUUUAGCCUUAUUUUUUAAACUUGUUUUUAAAAACUAGUGAAAAUAAUUUAUACUUGUUCUUUAAAAAUUGUUCUCUAUUUUGCUUUAUUUUUAAAAAUUGUUUCUAAAGAAUAACAAUCAAACAAUUUUAAAAAAUUUUAAAAACAGUUCUCCAUUUUAAAAAAUAAAAAAACUGUUUUUAAAUCAUAUGGCCAAAUAAGCUCUAAAAGCCUUCAACCCUUAAUAUCUUUUAACUUAAAAAUCUCACCAUUAGAUAAUAUUCUCAUUUUAGAAGAUACAAAUCACAUGUUAGAAAUAAACUAGAAUCAUAUUAUUAUUUAUUGUAAUGAGAUACACUUUAUAUCUUAUUUGAUGAAGCUUAAGAAAUCAUAUACAAAUUAUUAAUUAAUUAAUUAAUUAAUAUUUUGUUAGUGUAACCUUAUCAUUAUACAAAUAAAAUAUUUUUAUUAUUUUCAUUUUCAAAAUUUAAAAAUUAAAGAAAUCAAAAGAAAAUUUCUUAAUUUUUCAACUAAUAAAAUUCCUUUUAUCAAAAAGAGAACAUCAACAAAUUGUGAAGUUACAUAUUUUUAUUUAUUUUAAUAGUCGAUAUUUUUUUAAGAUGUAUCAAUUAUUAUGUACAUUAAAAUGCAUUUAAAGGUGAUUUUAUUUGAAAUAUUUUUAAUAAAAGUAUUUUAAAAAAAAUAUUUUUAGAAAAAUUAGUUAUCAAUUAUGAAACAUUAUAAAUAAUUUUUUAGUUUUUAAAAUAUUUUCUAAAAUUUUUAAAUGUGGAAAUUUUUUUAAGUUAAAAAUAUUUUCUAAAAUGACUAUGAAAUGGAAUCUUAAUAUUCUUACUAGUUCCUCCAAAAUAAUGGAGUGUCUUUUUCCCACGUAAAACCUAGAAAACUCUGAACCCAAAAUUUGAUGCUCAGAACGACGUGGGCAAGGGGGAAGAAUGAAAGUCAAGUCAUUUUCUUUAUUUUUAAAAUCCUCAUUUCAAUUGGGUGGGUGUCAUACCUGGAAAUUGCACCACACCUACCUUCACUAAUGAUAAAAGCACAAUUUUGGGCCCACCACAACAAACAUUAGGGCCCACUUUGAUGGGGGCAGGCCUUAUUUUCUAGAAAAAGUUAGCCCAACCACUCCAUUGUCUGUCCAUGAUUUCCCACGUCCCAUUAAAAAAAAGGCGUGCUAUUCCAGGUCAAUAAGACUUGCAAAUUACCCAAAACCACCAAGGGCCCAAGGCACCGAACCCCAUAAGAUGGAGGGGCAUUUUGGUCAUCUCGAAAUAUAUAUAUACCGCCUAGGUUUUGUGAACAAAUGGGAUGCAUUGUGGCCGGCAAAGGGUGUGCAUUGUGGUCAUGGCUAGAGCUCUCCUCAUCUCACCUUCCUUCUUCAUCUUCUUCAUCUUUCUCAUUUUCUCUUCUGCCAAGAUCCCAGUUUUCGGAGAAGAAUAUAGCUAUGUCAAGCGUCUCAAUCCUAAGAAAAUGAAGAUGUUGAAGGAAAAGUUAAGUCAUUUUCGACUUUAUUGGCAUGAUAUUCUUAGUGGGUCUAAUCCAACCUCAAUUCCAGUAGUUAAACCGGUGAAUAACUCAUCAACAUUCUUUGGUUCAAUAAAUAUGAUCGAUAAUCCAUUAACCAUUGAGCCAAAAUUAAACUCAAAAAUGGUUGGAAAGGCCCAAGGGUUUUAUGCGUCUGCGGGACAAGAAAAUUUUGGAUUGUUGAUGGUUAUGAAUUUUGCAUUCAACGAUGACAAGUAUAAUGGUAGCACAUUUACUGUGAUAGGACGAAAUGAUGUUUUUUCUAAGGUGAGGGAAAUGGAGAUAGUUGGUGGCAGUGGGCUUUUCCGAUUUGCUACAGGUUAUGUUCAAGCAAAAACUUACAUGUUCGGUACCAAUGGAGAUGCCAUUGUCGAAUACAAUGCCUAUGUUUUACAUUAUUGAUAUUUUUCCUUUUUUUAACUUUUCAGUCGAGCUUUGUUCCACAGUGAUAGACUUGAAUUGUUGUGUGUUCCCACUGUAGCUAAGUGGGGUUCUCUAGUUUUGCUUAAUUUAAUUAAAUUAAGUUACUCUUACUUUACCUAAUUUAUUGUAAGCAUGCAAUAAUAAAAUAAAAUUUAAGUAUCACGUAUAGUUUGAUUUAGAAUUUAUUUGUUUAUUUAAAUUUUUUAGAGAAGUUACAAAAAUAGAAAAAAAAAAACACAUGUAAUUCAAAGAAAAUCAUAUUUGAAAAUUCUCGAUGAUAGUGAUAGAUCGUGUAGAGAGAAGAAAAAUAAGACCAUAUUCAAUUUUAUUUGUUUCUUAUGAUUUUCUUAAUUUUCUUAUGUUCCUCUAUUGUUUAAAAAACUAGUGAAAAUGAUUCUUUAUUUCACUUUGUUUUUUUAAAAAUGAAAAUAGAGAACAACAACUGAAUAAGGUUAUGAAUUUUUUAAAAACAAAUAUUUGUUUUUAAAAUAGAAAACUAUUUUUUAAAUCACAUGGUCAAACAUGUUAUAAUAGUUUAAAAUUUUGUUUUAAAAAAAUGGAAGUAUAUAUAUGAAAAAAAAAAAAUUACAGCUUGAAAGUGAUUUUUAAAGAUUAAGUACAGCAAAACAACAUUUUAUAUGGAAUUUAUUAGUAUUUUUAUUUUUAAAAUAAAAAAAUAGAAAUUCAAAUUUUUGUUUUUAAAAGUUUUAAAAUAGAAAACAAAAUUAUACCCAAAUAACACCUUUUAAGUUUGUAAUUUACUAAAAGUUCAUCAGUCAAGAUUCCUAAAACUCUAUUACGUCAUAGUCCCACACAACUCAAGAAAGGUUAUAUCCAUAUAUUCAAGAUGACCUCCUAAAUCUUGAUCUAUAUGCAUGGAGGUAUAAAUUUUUUAUAAAUAAUUUUUUAUUUUUAAAAACAAAAACCUAUUUUUAAAUCACACAAUCAAACAGAUUGGAAGCCUUCAAUCCUUAAUAUCUUUUAACUUAAAAUCUUACCAUUAGAUAACAUUGCUUUAGAAUUUAUAAAUCAUGUAUUAUAAGUAAACUAAAAUCAUAUUAUUGUUGAUAGUAAUGAGAUACACUUUAUAUCUUAUUUGAUAAAGGUUAAGAAACCAUAUACAAAUUAUUAAUUAAUUAAUAAUUUAUUAAUGUAACCUUAUCAUUAUACAAAUAAAAUAUUUCUAUUAUUUCCAUUUUCAAAAUUUAAAACUCAAAGAAGUCAAAAGAAAAUUUCUUAAUUUUUCAACUAAUAAAAUCCCUUUUAUAAAAAAAAGAAAAAAAGAAAAAGAAAGUCAACAAAUCUUGAAAUUUCAAAAUUUUAAGAUAUUAAUGUACCAGUUAUUAAGUAGAUCGAGUAUAUUUAGUAGUGAUUCUAUUUGAAGUACUUUAGUAAAAGUGUUUUUUCUAAAAAUGUUUUUAGAAGAAUCGUCCAUUAAUUUCUUUUUUAAGAAACAUUAUAAAUAAUUUGUCAAUUUUUUAAAAAUAUUUUCUAAUUUUAAAUGCCAAAAUAUUUUAAAAUAUAGGGAAAAAUAUAUUUCCAUAUACCUAUAUGAAAAAAACCACAAAAUAAAAAUUUAAGUUUAUAAAAUAUAAAUUUCAAGCACUUAUAUAAAAAUAAUUAGUAUUUCACAUAUUUUCUUUAUCAAAUAUAUUACAUUUGAUCACGUAGAAUAUACCUUUUAAUGAUAUGAGUGUAUUAAAUUUGAAUUAUUUUUAUUUUGUUUUUAUUUUAUAAUUAUUUUUAUAUUAGCUUGUGAAAACCUUUUUUUUUUGUAAGUUAGAAGGAGUUUCUCUCCAUCGAAACACGCAGUGUCUUUUUCCCUUUUCUUGUAAACCCUAGAAAACUCUAAACCCUAAAUUCGGUGCUCAGAAAGACUUGGGCAUGGAAGAAGAGAAUGAAAGUAAAGUCAAUUCCUUUAUUUUUAAAUCCUCAGUUCACUUUUGCUUCCAUUGGGUGGGUGGGUGGGAUACCUGGAAAUUGUAUCAGACCUACCGUCACUCACAAGUCUGAAUUAAAAUGACAAUUUUAUCCAAUAGAAUGGGUUUUGGGGCGACUUUGAUUGCGGGAGGCCUCAUUUUCUAGAAAAGGUUGGCCCAACCACACCAUCCUCUUUCCAUGUUUUUUCUCAACAAACGCGUGCCCAAGUCAAUAAGACUUGCAAAUCACCCAAAACCACCAUAUGCCCAAGGCACCAAACCCCAUAAGAUGGAGGGGCAUUUUUGUCAUUCUCGUUAGAAAUAUUCCCGUUGUGAUGGGUCGGUGCGAUUGGCAAUUAUAACAUCUUUGAAUUUGGAAAAGUGGGCUUUAAUUGUGUGGAAAAUGAACAAUUCAAUAAUUUAUAUAUAUAUCCUAGGUUUUGUGAGCAAAGGGUGUGCAUUGUGGCCAUGGCUAGAGCUCUCCUCAUCUCACCUCCCUACUUCAUCUUCCUUAUCUUUCUCAUUUUCUCUUAUGCCACAAUCCCAACUUUUGGAGAAGAAUAUAGCUAUGUCAAGCGUGUCAAUCCUAAGAAAAUGAAGAUAUUGAAGGAAAAGUUAAGUCAUUUUCGACUUUACUGGCACGACAUUGUUAGCGGGUCUAAUCCAACCUCAAUUCAAGUGGUUAAACCAGUGAAUAACUCGUCAACAUUCUUUGGUUCAAUAAAUAUGAUUGAUAAUCCGUUAACCAUUGGACCAAAGUUGAGCUCAAAACUGGUUGGAAAGGCUCAAGGGUUUUAUUCAUCUGCAGGACAAGAAGAAUUUGGAUUAUUGAUGGUUAUGAAUUUUGUAUUCAUCGAUGGCAAGUAUAAUGGUAGCACAUUCACUGUGUUAGGACGAAAC
rnacentral:lncRNA from 1 species